UGUGUUCCAGUCCUCUCUCAGGGUGUUUCUGUGUUCCAGUCCUCUCUCAGCUGUGUGGUUUAGGUGUUAACAGGGUGUCUCUGUGUUCCAGUCCUCUCUCAGCUGUGUGGUUUAGGUGUUAACAGGGUGUCUCUGUGUUCCAGUCCUCUCUCAGCUGUGUGGUUUAGGUGUUAACAGGGUGUCUCUGUGUUCCAGUCCUCUCUCAGGGUGUCUCUGUGUUCCAGUCCUCUCUCAGCUGUGUGGUUUAGGUGUUAACAGGGUGUCUCUGUGUUCCAGUCCUCUCUCAGCUGUGUGGUUUAGGUGUUAACAGGGUGUCUCUGUGUUCCAGUCCUCUCUCAGCUGUGUGGUUUAGGUGUUAACAGGGUGUCUCUGUGUUCCAGUCCUCUCUCAGCUGUGUGGUUUAGGUGUUAACAGGGUGUCUCUGUGUUCCAGUCCUCUCUCAGCUGUGUGGUUUAGGUGUUAACAGGGUGUCUCUGUG